rnacentral:rRNA from 1 species
UUUUGGACAAUGGGCGCAAGCCUGAUCCAGCCAUUCCGCGUGAGUGAAGAAGGCCUUCGGGUUGUAAAGCUCUUUCGCAAGGGACGCCCCACUCACUUUUUAAUAAAGAGUGAGGUUGACGGUACCUUGAUAAGAAGCACUGGCUAACUACGUGCCAGCAGCCGCGGUAAUACGUAGGGUGCGAGCGUUAAUCGGAAUUACUGGGCGUAAAGCGUGCGCAGGCGGCUUUGUAAGUCAGAUGUGAAAUCCCCGAGCUCAACUUGGGAACUGCGUUUGAAACUACAAGGCUAGAAUAUGUCAGAGGGGGGUAGAAUUCCACGUGUAGCAGUGAAAUGCGUAGAGAUGUGGAGGAAUACCAAUGGCGAAGGCAGCCCCCUGGGAUUAUAUUGACGCUCAUGCACGAA